rnacentral:rRNA from 1 species
AAUCAACGCUGGCGGCGUGCCUCAGACAUGCAAGUUGAACGAUUAAAGCUCUCUUCGGAGAGUGCAUAAAGUGGCGCACGGGUGAGUAACACGUAAGUAAUCUACCCUCGAGUGGGGAAUAACGUCCGGAAACGGACGCUAAUACCGCAUAACGCAGCGGCACCGCAAGGUGACAGUUGUUAAAGGAGAAAUCCGCUUGAGGAGGAGCUUGCGGCAGAUUAGCUUGNGGUAAGGUAACGGCUUACCAAGGCUACGAUCUGUAACCGGUCUAAGAGGACGGUCGGUCACACUGACACUGAAUAACGGGUCAGACUCCUACGGGAGGCAGCAGUCGGGAAUUUUGGGCAAUGGGGGAAACCCUGAUCCAGCCAUGCCGCGUGAGUGAAGAAGGCCU